UGUUUUUAUGAUGAAGCUUUAAACAUUCUUGAUAGGAAGAGUAUGAUACAUAAUGAGUACAUUUUACUAAACUGAUUUUAAU